AGAUUGAACGCUGGCGGCAGGCCUAACACAUGCAAGUCGAGCGGUAGCACAGAGAGCUUGCUCUCGGGUGACGAGCGGCGGACGGGUGAGUAAUGUCUGGGAAACUGCCUGAUGGAGGGGGAUAACUACUGGAAACGGUAGCUAAUACCGCAUAAUGUCGCAAGACCAAAGUGGGGGACCUUCGGGCCUCAUGCCAUCAGAUGUGCCCAGAUGGGAUUAGCUAGUAGGUGGGGUAACGGCUCACCUAGGCGACGAUCCCUAGCUGGUCUGAGAGGAUGACCAGCCACACUGGAACUGAGACACGGUCCAGACUCCUACGGGAGGCAGCAGUGGGGAAUAUUGCACAAUGGGCGCAAGCCUGAUGCAGCCAUGCCGCGUGUGUGAAGAAGGCCUUCGGGUUGUAAAGCACUUUCAGCGGGGAGGAAGGCGUUAAGGUUAAUAACCUUGGCGAUUGACGUUACCCGCAGAAGAAGCACCGGCUAACUCCGUGCCAGCAGCCGCGGUAAUACGGAGGGUGCAAGCGUUAAUCGGAAUUACUGGGCGUAAAGCGCACGCAGGCGGUCUGUCAAGUCGGAUGUGAAAUCCCCGGGCUCAACCUGGGAACUGCAUUCGAAACUGGCAGGCUAGAGUCUUGUAGAGGGGGGUAGAAUUCCAGGUGUAGCGGUGAAAUGCGUAGAGAUCUGGAGGAAUACCGGUGGCGAACGCGGCCUCCUGGACAAAGACUGACGCUCAGGUGGGAAAGCGUGGGGAGCAAACAGGAUUAGAUACCCUGGUAGUCCACGCCGUAAACGAUGUCGAUUUGGAGGUUGUGCCCUUGAGGCGUGGCUUCCGGAGCUAACGCGUUAAAUCGACCGCCUGGGGAGUACGGCCGCAAGGUUAAAACUCAAAUGAAUUGACGGGGGCCCGCACAAGCGGUGGAGCAUGUGGUUUAAUUCGAUGCAACGCGAAGAACCUUACCUGGUCUUGACAUCCACAGAACUUUCCAGAGAUGGAUUGGUGCCUUCGGGAACUGUGAGACAGGUGCUGCAUGGCUGUCGUCAGCUCGUGUUGUGAAAUGUUGGGUUAAGUCCCGCAACGAGCGCAACCCUUAUCCUUUGUUGCCAGCGGUUCGGCCGGGAACUCAAAGGAGACUGCCAGUGAUAAACUGGAGGAAGGUGGGGAUGACGUCAAGUCAUCAUGGCCCUUACGACCAGGGCUACACACGUGCUACAAUGGCAUAUACAAAGAGAAGCGACCUCGCGAGAGCAAGCGGACCUCAUAAAGUAUGUCGUAGUCCGGAUUGGAGUCUGCAACUCGACUCCAUGAAGUCGGAAUCGCUAGUAAUCGUAGAUCAGAAUGCUACGGUGAAUACGUUCCCGGGCCUUGUACACACCGCCCGUCACACCAUGGGAGUGGGUUGCAAAAGAAGUAGGUAGCUUAACCUUCGGGAGGGCGCUUACCACUUUGUGAUUCAUGACUGGGGUGA
rnacentral:rRNA from 1 species